UUUACCUUUUUUUUAUAUAGGUUUAUUCCUUCCGUUUCUUUCUUCGUCUUGCAGGUACUGUUUCUCGAUGCUACUUCUUUAGGCGCUCUGAUGGUUUCCUUGCUCUAAACGCAUCUCUAUAAUUUGAAUUUUCACUUUGGUGUGGUGGUCUUUUUUCUUCUAGUUACUAAUUACUUGGCGUUUUUGUAUUGUUGGUUUAGAUUUGUGACAAGAGGAUCCAACUUCAAAUCAUCGCUCCACCAGCUUCUGAAUUUACACUCCUCCGACGGUUUGAUUUUGCUUACUUGUUUCAAGUGAAAACAUCUCUGUCUCUCUUUGAUGCAGAGUCCUCGAGGCAAUGGGAUUACUUUAUGGGAGGGUCUGUUACAAAGUCUGGGCUCCUCUGAUGCACAAGGCUGGACAUGUGGUUUAUUCAGAGGUUCUAUAGGAGAAAAGCUGCUAGCUAGCUCUACCAAUAUGAUUCACAAGUCGUAGAAGAGAGAACGUUGAAACAUUAUAAUGGCGACAAGAGAGCAAACAAGUCAGAGAGCGAGAGGUGUCCCAACAAGUUCGUGUUCUUCUAUAUCCUCUGCUCCAUCAUUUGUCUGAGUGAGAGUGACGAUGUAAGAUCAUAUGAGUACUAAAGAAUCAUUUUUUGUUGAUUAAAAGUUGUCUGAUGAUGAAUACAUCUGCACUAUGGCCAUAAAACUAGUCACACAGUUAUCUCAAGCCAAAGGCAAUCAUCAAAAAAAGCUUUUGGCUGCUCCAGCUUUGCCUGCACUGCGCCAUCAAAGAAGUUACACCACAUCUGCCAAUUUUUCAGUUUACACAAUAGCAAGGGCUAACCUAAGGCAAGAGCUAGAUGGUCCAACGUUGGAAACAACCCUCUGCUUACUCUAUAACUUCGGUUCCUAGAACCAGAUCAAGGAGAUCAUCACUCAAAAGUAGAGACUAUGUGAAACUUCCAUGUAUGAUAUACCAUGAGAAACGUCCAAGAGAAGACCUCAAGGUUUUGUGACAAUCGUCCAUCACUAUCGUUUAAUGUCAAUUACUUUUAACACUUCUUAUUGUUUCAUGAUAAAAAGCCGUGUUAGAACCAGUAGCUACAACACAAAUGAAGGCAAGCUCAAGAAAUAACAAGGAAUUUCAUAUUCAAACAAUGGCAAGGGCUACAAUGGCUUCAAAAAAGUGUGCAAGCAGAUUUGAAGCUUCUUUUCACCCCUAUAUAAAAGUUGUAUCUACGCAUAAAACACUUUAUAUUUCAUUCCAUCUGACAUUGCCUUUAUUUUCCUUGCACGCAUCAUUAUAAUUGGAGGCCUAACCUGCUUACACACUUUUUUGAAGCUAUUGUAGCCCUUACAACAAUAGUUUUGUUGUUUUCCUUAAGCCAUCUGAUAUUGUUUCUUGUUCUUUUUACAGUAAUUUUUACUGAUGCGAAUCUCGGCUUGGGUAUGCCAUGACCGAGCAGAUUGAAAACAAGGAAACGUUCAUCGUGCUUGUACCCCCAAACCACGACUGCUAGAAAGAUUAGCUAAGUGUGCUGAAGAAUCAAUCUUCACUUUGGCCAAGAAACCAGUCAUAUAUAGUUUGUCUCAACCCAAAGACAGGAGUCAUCAAAAAGUAAACUCUGCUUCUUAGAAUUGAAUAUCAAAAUGAAAACAAAAGAACAUUCCUCUAGAGCGAAAGAUACAACUGAACUGAGUAUCACAAACGAAAACAAAAGAACAUUCCUCCAGAAUCCAGAUCACUAUUAAAAUCAAGUACCAGCUGCGCUUGUCUAACGAAACGAAACUGAACUGGAUGACUCCAUCACCGUAUAAC